CGUGCUUAACACAUGCAAGUCGAGAGGGAUGCUUUUGAUAGAAACUUCGGUCGAUAGAGAGAGCGGAUAGCGGCGGACGGGUGAGUAACGCGUACGUAACCUACCUCUUACACAGGGAUAGCCUAGGGAAACUUGGAUUAAUACCUGAUAAUGCAGUUUGUUCACAUGUACAGACUGCAAAAAAUUUACAGGUGUGAGAUGGGCCCCCGUCUGAUAACAUAUUAGGUGAGGUAACAGCCCGCCAAGUCAGCAAUCACUACCCGGCCUGAUAGGGUGAACGGCCACAUCGGGACUGAGACACGGCCCACCCUCCUACGGGAGGCAUCAGUGGGAAAUAUUGGACAAUGGGAGACACCCUGAUCCACCGACCCCGCGUGAGUGAAGAAGUAUUUCGGUAUGUACACCUCUAUCAGCGAAGAAGAAAAUGACGGUACUUGACUAAGAACCCCCGGCUAACUACGUGCCACCAGCCGCGGUAAUACGUAGGGGGCAAGCGUUAUCCGGAUUUACUGGGUGUAAAGGGAGCGUAGACGGCAUAUCCAAUCUGAAGUGAAAAUGCAUGGGCCCAACCCAUGAACUGCUUUGUAAAAUGUUAAACUACAGAGCGGGAAAGGUAAGUGAAAUCCUAGUGUAGCGGGGAAAUGCUUAUAAAUUAAGAGGAACACCAGUGGCGAAGGGGGUUUACUGGACUGUAAAUGACGUUGAGGCUCGAAAGCGUGGGGAGCAAACAGGAUUAGAUACCCUGGUAGUCCUCGCUGUAAACGAUGAUUAUUAGGUGUUGGGGGUGUAUAGACCUUCGGUGCCGCCGCAAACGCAUUAAGUAAUCCACCUGGGGAGUGCGUUCGCAAGAAUGAAACUCAAAGGAAUUGACGGGGACCCGCACAAGCGGUGGAGCAUGUGGUUUAAUUUGAAGCAACGCGAAGAACCUUACUUGGUCUUGACAUCCCGAUGACAAAGUAUGUAAUGUACUCUCUCUUUGGAGCAUCGGUGACAGGUGGUGCAUGGUUGUCGUCAGCUCGUGUCGUGAGAUGUUGGGUUAAGUCCCGCAACGAGCGCAACCCUUAUUUUCAGUUAGUAACAGGUAAAGCUGAGGACUCUGAAGAGACUGCCGGGGACAACUCGGAGGAAGGUGGGGACGACGUCAAAUCAUCAUGCCCCUUAUGACCUGGGCUACACACGUGCUACAAUGGCCACCACAGAGAGGAGCGAACCUGCAAGGGGGAGCGGAUCUCAAAAAAGUGGUCCCAGUUCGGAUUGUGGGCUGCAACCCGCCCACAUGAAGUCGGAGUUGCUAGUAAUCGCGGAUCAGCAUGCCGCG
rnacentral:rRNA from 1 species